GAUGAAGAACGUAGCGAAAUGCGAUAAGUAAUGUGAAUUGCAGAAUUCAGUGAAUCAUCGAAUCUUUGAACGCACCUUGCGCUCCUUGGUAUUCCAAAGAGCAUGCCUGUUUGAGUAUCAUUAAAUUAUCAACUGUACCAAUUUGGUUGCAGAUUGGAUGUGGGAGAUUUUGCAGGCUUUUGAUUUCUCUUUGAGAAAACGGUCAGCUCUCCUGAAAUAUAUUAGCAGUGCCUUUGUUGGUUCAUUAGGUGUGAUAAUUUAUCUACAUCUUCACAUGGUACCUUCAUUUGUGUAAAGGUCAUAUUGCUUCUAAUUGUCUUUGGAAAUAAAAAAAAAAAAACAUAUAAUUGUAUGGAAAACUUGAUCUCAAAUCAGGCAGGACUACCCGCUGAACUUAAGCAUAUCAAUAAGCGGAGGA
rnacentral:misc_RNA from 1 species